CGCUCACGCCCUCAGACUCAUCAGACACUUUUAUUCUUAAUUAAAACCAAAGACACAAAACGGUCCUCUGCAGCGUCUCCUUCGUGGACGCGCCGGUGACGCCCCGCGAGCAGGCGCUGAGAGGGGCAGGCCUGGCGGUUGAGGCGCUGGCCUGCAGGUGUGUCGGGGUGCCCUUGGCGAUGCCGAUGGGGGAAAGUAUCCACGUGGAGGUCUGCGGACGCGAAGCAUCCCCGCGAGGAAGGGACCCCACAGAGAUGGCGGUGCCAAUGGGGGGGAGGUGCCAUAGAUAGAGUUGUAGGUAGGAAUUGUUCGGCCAGGGGCUCCCUAGACGCCAUCUUGCAUCUAUGUCACUCAGGUUCACUACCUUCUACCCGGGGCUUCUGCCUGAACACAAGUUCAACACCAAGAGAUAAAAACGGUGGUCUAUGCAGCUUGUGUUGAGGCGGAGCACUGAGAGGAGGCUGCCAGCAUGAGGGACAGGAAUGGAAGAUGGCGAGCGGCCGACACUCCCUGUCCACGGCUCUGUGUGGCGGUCUGCGGACGCAAAGCAUCCCCGCGAGGAAGGGACCCCACAGUGGGGGAGGGGGGGGAAGGGAGGGGGGUACCAUAGAUGUGGCGGUCUGCGGACGCGAAGGAUCCCCGCGAGGAAGGGACCCCACAGGGGGGCGGGGGGGAAAGGAGGGGGGUGCCAUAAAUGUGGCGGUCUGCGGACGCGAAGGAUCCCCGCAUAAGACGUUAAGCUUAAUUUUCUUUAUUAACAAGCGAGAGACGUUAGGGAAGGCUUGGAGUGAUGAGUGAAGCAAAGUGGGUUCGACUCCCAUCUCGAACUCUAAACUUGUCCUACACCACCAGGCGUCGUGCGUGUCAGAAGACCUGCACCGAGCUGAUAGUCGUGGACCUGCUAGUGUGCGUGUGUGUGUGUGUUUGAGACGCGAGCCAUCCAUCAUACCGACUUCCAAGACCUACAUACGUUCGCUUGACCUAGGUUGUGGUGAAGAAAACGGAGGAGGGAAGAAAGAAAACGAAGAAUAGCACUGUGCUCUCUAGCUUGUCCUCUUCUGCUAAUCUACAAGGUGGCCGGUGAAGACGUUACGAGGAGGACGCGAUCGAGGGGACCGUUGUUCUGCUAUCUUCCAGUUCGCAAGGAGCUCUCCGGAAGGCCCUGCUGCGUCGCCCUCGUCUUCAGAUUCGGUGAUGCAGCAGACUUGCCCUUCCCAACCUUUCACGCCCUGCCCCGCCCGCAAAUGCCGGGAAGACGUGGUUCAGUAGGAGGUGGCGAGGCUCUGCAGUCAUCCCAGCACCCUUGGUCGUCACUGGAUUCUGCUAUGCCACACAGCAUUCCAGGAAGGGCUCCGUGUUGUCGUACGCCUAGACGGAUCCACCACGCAGCCCACCUGGAAGAAGCUACAUUAAAAUUUCAGUUCAUUUCGUCCGGCGGUACAGGAAUUUAUGCGUAUAGAUUUUAUAUAUCUGGAAAUUUGUUUAAUAAAUAUUUUGGUGGGG